rnacentral:rRNA from 1 species
GAUCCUGGCUCAGGAUGAACGCUGGCGGCGUGCCUAAUACAUGCAAGUCGAACGCUUUGUGAUUCAACUGAUUUGAAGAGCUUACUCAGAUAUGACGAUGGACAUUGCAAAGAGUGGCGAACGGGUGAGUAACACGUGGGAAACUUACCUCUUAGCAGGGGAUAACAUUUGGAAACAGAUGCUAAUACCGUAUAACAAUGACAACCGCAUGGUUGUUAUUUAAAAGAUGGUUCUG